rnacentral:tRNA from 1 species
AUCUAAUAAUAAGACAUUGGUCUUGUAAACCAAAAACUGAGGUGUAAAUCCUCACCAGAACA